UACGGAGGGUGCAAGCGUUAUCCGGAUUCACUGGGUUUAAAGGGAGCGUAGGUGGGUCUGUAAGUCAGUGGUGAAAUCUCCGGGCUUAACCUGGAAACUGCCAUUGAUACUACAGGUCUUGAAUAUUGUGGAGGUUAGCGGAAUAUGUCAUGUAGCGGUGAAAUGCUUAGAUAUGACAUAGAACACCAAUUGCGAAGGCAGCUGGCUACGCAUAUAUUGACACUGAGGCUCGAAAGCGUGGGGAUCAAACAGG
rnacentral:rRNA from 1 species